rnacentral:rRNA from 1 species
GACGAACGCUGGCGGCGUGCUUAACACAUGCAAGUCGAACGGAAAGGCCCUGCUUUUGUGGGGUGCUCGAGUGGCGAACGGGUGAGUAACACGUGAGUAACCUGCCCUUGACUUUGGGAUAACUUCAGGAAACUGGGGCUAAUACCGGAUAGGAGCUCCUGCUGCAAGGUGGGGGUUGGAAAGUUUCGGCGGUUGGGGAUGGGCUCGCGGCUUAUCAGCUUGUUGGUGGGGUAGUGGCUUACCAAGGCUUUGACGGGUAGCCGGCCUGAGAGGGUGACCGGCCACAUUGGGACUGCGAUACGGCGCAGACUCCUACGGGAGGCAGCAGUGGGGAAUAUUGCACAAUGGGCGGAAGCCUGAUGCAGCAACGCCGCGUGCGGGAUGACGGCCUUCGGGUUGUAAACCGCUUUCGCCUGUGACGAAGCGUGAGUGACGGUAAUGGGUAAAGAAGCACCGGCUAACUACGUG